AGUGAACGCUGGCGGUAGGCCUAACACAUGCAAGUCGAACGGCAGCACAGUAAGAGCUUGCUCUUACGGGUGGCGAGUGGCGGACGGGUGAGGAAUACAUCGGAAUCUACUUUUUCGUGGGGGAUAACGUAGGGAAACUUACGCUAAUACCGCAUACGACCUACGGGUGAAAGCAGGGGAUCUUCGGACCUUGCGCGAUUGAAUGAGCCGAUGUCGGAUUAGCUAGUUAGCGGGGUAAAGGCCCACCAAGGCGACGAUCCGUAGCUGGUCUGAGAGGAUGAUCGGCCACACUGGAACUGAGACACGGUCCAGACUCCUACGGGAGGCAGCAGUGGGGAAUAUUGGACAAUGGGCGAAAGCCUGACCCAGCCAUGCCGCGUGAGUGAAGAAGGCCUUCGGAUUGUAAAGCCCUUUUAUUGGGAAAGAAAAGAGGCGGAUUAAAACCCCGCUGUUCUGACGGUACCCAAAGAGAAAGCACCGGCUAACUUCGUG
rnacentral:rRNA from 1 species